rnacentral:rRNA from 1 species
GACGAACGCUGGCGGCGUGCUUAACACAUGCAAGUCGAACGGAAAGGCCCUUCGGGGUACUCGAGUGGCGAACGGGUGAGUAACACGUGGGUGAUCUGCCCUGCACUUUGGGAUAAGCCUGGGAAACUGGGUCUAAUACCGGAUAGGACCACGCGCUUCAUGGUGUGUGGUGGAAAGCUUUUGCGGUGUGGGAUGGGCCCGCGGCCUAUCAGCUUGUUGGUGGGGUAAUGGCCUACCAAGGCGACGACGGGUAGCCGGCCUGAGAGGGUGACCGGCCACACUGGGACUGAGAUACGGCCCAG